rnacentral:lncRNA from 1 species
AACAUAAUCAUGAGGGUAUCACAUAACUAUUCACCAUAUCAACAAUAAAUCAUAUCCACUGAGCAUGGCAUACUGACUAGCAUGACCAUCUCCAACAUCAACAUGUACUACUAGCAAGCAUAAACAUAUGAAAAGAAAGACUAGUAGGUAGAACAUGGUAAUAGAGUACAAGACAACAUAGCACAAAAGUGAACAUGCAAAUCUAAAUAUCACCGGAACAAUGAUAACCAUCUUUUCAACAAGCAAACAUUUAAUAAAGAUUCAAGUUGAAAACCAUGGCUACUGCAUGACUAUCAUGCAAGUGGAUAUUGUGGCUUACCUGGCGUGGAACAAAUCACCGGGAGAAAGUGCGAGAAACUCACGGAACGAAACGUUCUCUCUCGGAGGGGGCUGAAUAAGGGCAAGGGCAUAAUGGUCAUGUUCACAGUGUCAAACCAUAGUGAAAGCAUGACCAACAGAAUGGGCUCAACAAAACAAAGAAGUGAGCGUUGGAAUCACCUCAUUUGGAGCUACGGAUAAAAAGAUAUGGAUGUUUUUCUGCCACGGACCUAUCUGCAAUGAAAAGAUUUUCAAACAGGAGCCUGGACAGAAAAACAGAACGCGUAAAAGAGAAGUACACUUUUGGAAAGCAAAGACAUAAUCAGAGGAUUACUCCUCCACUUAUCCACGCCAGCGUACCUGGGUAAACGCGGGGCCGGCUCGUGUGUGGCUGACAGGUGGGUCCCACCUUAUCCACUCCCUCUCUCUCUCUCCUCUCCUCUCUUCUUCCUCUCUCCUUCUCCCGACGCUCGCCCCGGCAAAUCGGGCCACCUCCAGCGGAGCUUGGACCGCCAGAGUGCUCAGGACGGCGAGGCGCACCCGUCCCACCACCACACGAACAUCAGGGAGACUCGGGCAGGGCGGGACCAUGGCCGCGGCGGACGGGGCUUCGACGGAAGAUAGAGGACGAUGCCAUGGCGAUUCCGACGACUAACGGAGGGCUGCGGGAGAGGCUAUGGUGGUUGGGUGACCUACUAGAGGUGGAAGACAGAGGAGAGGGGCUUCGGUUCGCCGGAAUCCGAGUGGACAGGGGCGGCGGCCAUGGAGACAAUGGCGACCACAGAGAGCUCCUCGAGCACGAGGAGUUGGCUAGGCGGGGCUCGGGUAGUGAGGCAAGGCGGGAGAUGAGCUCGGACGAGGCCGAGGAUGGCUUAAAUAGCUGCGGGGAGGAGCUGCCGUGCUGGCACCGCUGCUGACGCGUGUCCGGCGCCGCGAACGCAUGCUCGCGCGCAUGGACUCAGAGGCAAACGAUGAGGGAGGCACAGGGGAGAGAUCACGAGGCAGAGGAGGCCAAGGGGGCGCAGGGAGGAAGACGACGGUGAUGAACGGAUCCAAAACUCCACUGUACGCUCAUGGGCACGUGACGGUUUGCGUCGGCGAGGAAGCUGCCGGAGGGGCAGAGGGGUCCAGGGGGACGGAGACGACACGGGCCAGCUGGAGGACACGCUCACGAGCGCGAAGACGACGAGAGGAGGAGGGGGUCCAGCACAAACAGCCACUAGACGUGGCCACUGCACACAGAGCGCGUGCAUAGGCACGCCAUUGUCGUGGUCACCGCGUGCACUGGCAUGAACAAGAGGCCAAGGGUUGGGAAACAUUGUCUAGUGGUAAGUUCCUCCAGGGUAGGUCUCAACUACGGUGGUAACUCGGUUAAAACUGCUAUGGUUAAAUGGUUACCACCCUCUGAAGUUUACUGCAGUAAACUUCAUCAGCUCAAUGUGGUCAAUAGGGAUAUGCUAUUGGCCAAAUAAGUUGUCUGGCGUGUUUAGCUAUGGAGGGACUAAGAUCCUGGAGGUUUUGAGGGGAAAUGGACCAAGUAUGAAUAUAGUUGCUUUGCAACUGCCAAAAUGGUCCAGAAAUGAAGAUUAUGAUGGUGCACUCACAUGGAGUGUCAACUUGGGCUAAUAUUGGGCAAAGCUUAGUCAUUUGGUCAUAUGAAGAUUCUCACCAAGUAUCAUACCAUUUGGCAAAGCCAAAAUCGUACUUGCUUCACCAACAUCUCUGCUGACCAGAAACUUGAAAUAAUAUUGGUGGUCAAAUGGAUCAAUGAAAUGAUUCCAAAUUGGUUGGAGAGAUGUUUUAUGGGUAUAAGAAUUAUCUGGUAAUUUAUCAGGAUUUCUGAAGCAAUAUAAAAUACACUUCCUUCACAACCUAAAAAUAAUGCCGGAAUCAAAGAUUUGCUCCUGUGCUCACAUAGAUAAUUUAUGGGGCUGAAAAUGGGUGGAGGGGGUUAAUAUGAGCACAUUAAGGAGUGUGCAAAAGUUCAACUCAUUUGGGUACUCCUAGCUUGUACUUCCUUCACAAAGCCUUCUGUUUGACAGAAACUUUGAAAAAUCACUGAGGAAGAUUGGCCAGGAAAAUAAAUUUGAACUUGUGCAUGAGGAAAUUAUUUGGACAUAUAAACAUGACCAAAAAGGUUGGUAGCCACUAGGAAAAAUAUAAAUGACACUUCCUUCACAAAGUGCCAUUCAGGGCAGAAAGGAAGAAUAAUUAUUGGGGAAUUAUUUUUGAACAUGGGAAUGAAAAGUUUUGCAAUAUUUGAUCAAGAUAUGACCCAAACAAUUUUAUGAGAAUUAUUUGGGAAUUUUUGGAGUGAUGUAAAUAUAGGUUGCUUCACAACCUAGGGCAAUUUGAGUUAUUCCUUUAAUAGAAAAGGAAUAUUCCCAAUAAAAAGAAUAUUGGGAUUUGGGCUAGGAUGGAAAUGACAGGGUCUAGGGAAAUAUUUGGGAAUGACAAGCCACUCUGGAAGCAAAGAAGAGGGCAUCUUCUUCAGUUUUCCAGACCACAAAGCCACGAAAAAGAAAAACUCACGCAAAAACCUCGGAAAAACAAAAGAAAAAGAAAGGGCCAAAAAUCAGGCUGUCACAAACCUUACCCCCUUAAAGAAAUCUUGACCUCGAGAUUUGGUUGCUCAGGGAACAAGUAUGAAUAUUCUGACUUAAGGAAACCGUUUCCAACUCGGGUAUCCUUUUUCCUUUAUUGUUGUUCCCACUAAAUUCUUAUCUGACUGGCCCUGGGGUAGUUUUAUUUACUGUAUCCUCCUCCUGACAGAUCUUACCUUGCUUGUUCAUGCUUAUAUAAGCUCCAAUUUCUUUUUAAAUCUGCUGACUAGCUGAGUGUGAUUUAAUUAUCACGACUGAAAUAUAUGUUCGUCUCACAAAUCCAAAAGUGAUUUCCGCUGGGUGUGCCACCCGGACUGACAACCUUUCAUGUAAUAAUGGUCAGAAUUUUCUGAUGAAAACUCAAGUUCUGACUCAUUGCAUUGGGUUUCUCCACUAAAUGCAGGUCCUUUGGGUUCCAAACAGUGAGUUAAAACAUAACUAUUUCCUGACAGAUUUUGACUCAUCACGGAAGUUUCUUAAUCAUCUUAACUGGUUCCACUGUCGUGAGUAUCGGAUCCGUACCAAAUAUUUGAUUGUCUCCUGUCGUGGCCAGCAUAAAGGGUUUGGUCUGUAUGAUAAUAUCUGCAGACUUCAGUGACGGUGGUUUUGAUGGAAAAUUUUUGUUCACGACAGGCUAUCCAUGAUGAUUCAUAUAAGUGAGGACUCGGGCUUCUAGACUGUUAUUCCUCAUGCCGAUUACUCAUUUUGUAGGCAUAUCCAUGUGGAUCAAUACUGACUUAGACUGUCCGGGGGAUCUGCACCAUGGGGGUCAUGUACAAUUUUCAUACCUGCCUCACUAGUCUUGCUCCUUCAUUAUUGUUUUCUUGGUAUGGAUCUUUGGCUGAAAGAGCUAGGCCAUAUUGUUUCUUUGUAUGACCAUAGGUACUGUCGGUGCAAUUUUUCGGCAAUUGUAGCUUAUCCUCAUUUUUUUGAUAAGGUAACCCAUUACAUGGCAGGUUCAACACCUCUCAUUUUCUGAUCGUUGGGAAAUGAUCAUCUGAAACCCUUGCAAGAAAUCGGCAAAUAAAUCAGUAGCCACCAGAACGGUCUUUACAACUCAGGUCUAGGACAUUACUAAAAUAACUCAACCACGGCUCAGGACGGCCGAAAAGCAGCUCAGAGCAUGAAACCGGGUUGAUAAGAAGAAGGUGGCAGCUCCCUAAAAUAGCCAAAAAGCAGCUAUAUGGCUACUGUCACAAAAAGAAACUCAAUAGCUGUACGAGACAGCCGAAAAGCAGCUCAGACUUGUGACAAUCGUUGAAGAGAGAAACAAAAAAUAGGCAUCCACCCCGGAUAGCUAGAAACAGCUCAGAUCACAGGCGUGGUGCCGUCAUUGGAGAAAAGGGGACAAGGGCUCAUCAGGAUCAUUUUCCAGUUCAGAAGUACUUGUAUGGAGCUCAUUGAUGUCGUCAAUCCUCAUAAUCCUUUGUCACACUGCGGUGUAUACUGGCUUUCUUCGAUUAACCAUCCUCACAUGGUUGUCAGAUCCUCAUCCAAGUAAUUUGUAAGCUCUUGAUGGUAUGCUUAUUGCAUAUAUAUAAGAAUUUGAUUCCGAGACAGAUGUGUAUUCUGACUGAUUCUUAAUUCUGACCAAAAUGUUGCGGAUCUGAUUCUUGGGAUUCACUGCCAAAUGUUGUCAAUUCACAGCGUACUACCUUGCACCAAUGUCUUACUGAGGAAUACUUGAUGGCUUGUGCUCGAAACUUUCAUCGGACAGCUUGCUGAAGAAGACUGGGUAUCGUACUUUAGAAGCUUGCCCCCUUAAAGACUUUGCUGGGGAAAGACUCAGUACCUUAUGCCGGAAGCUUUUGCGGUUGCUUACUGAAGAAGACAGGGUACCUUGCACGGGGAAUCAUCCAUGUAUCGUACUGAGGAAGAUAGAUGAAUCUUGCCUUGGAAGCUUCUCUGGUAUCUUGCGAGGGAAGAUUGGGUUGCUUACACCAUAAGCUUCUUAUUGUGAUAUGCGGACCGAUUUCCACAUAUAUAACCAUCUAAAUAUUUUUUCUAUUGAUUUCUUGCAUGAUACGGGGUUUGGCAGGACUAUUCUCCUUUCCGAGUAUAUGCCAUAUUUUUGUUUGCUUCCAGGUACAUCGAGUUCCGAAAUCAUCCUCAAUGAAAAAUUAAACUUGUAUCAGAGCCAUAGCUUUGAUAAUAUUCUGUCAACCUUGCACACAAUUUAUCUUAUUGCUAAUUUAAUCAUUUUAUUGUGAUGAGUGCACUCUAAUGCAAACUUGAUACUGACGGUCCAUCCAGGAUUUCUUUUGCAUCCAGACAAGAUAUUCCCAAAUUUCACUACAGUCAGCUGAUAAUUCCAUUAUGUUUAGCUGAGUUUCCAAAUAUAUGCAUUUCUUGCUGACUCUUUGGGUCCAGUGUCGGCUGACGAGCAACUUUAAUAAGGGAAAAAUUUGUAACACCGAAGGCCCAAAGAAAGGAACAACAGAAACGACUAAAACAAAAGCACACAAGCAUUCUACUAAUAUAAUUAAUCAAGCAAUCAUCACAUAUUACUGCUACUCACACAAUAAUAUGCAUGCCUACUUAAGCACACAAAUCUCGUGGGAUCUCCGGUUCUACGAUCUAGCAUGUUGUGACGAUGUGCACGAGGACGAAUAAAUGUGUGGAAGAAUUGGUGUAAACAGCACUACACCAAGUGCUAACUUAGCCAGGUGGCAACCUGAACUAGCUCGGAGGUAAGGACGUACUCGGUAAUCAUGCAGUAGGACACGAAGGUCGCAACCACAUCAUUAUCAAGCGGACGAAAAAAGAUCCGUACUCGUCCAAGAAAUAGGAUUGCGGGAAAAAACUGAGGCUGCUGACAUUGCCCUUUCUUGAUAACUAAGAUCAUUAAGGGUUGCCAACAUGACAAAAUAAAAGAAUGAUCUGGGAUAGACGCAUGUCCAUCACCGAAAUGAUAGGCAGGACUAAAGGAAAGACAUCAGUGCGAUAACUGAGCACCAUUUUUGCAAACAGUGUCGGGAUCACUUGGCAUCACUCUACUGGGACAGAAUUGACACCAAACACCGAAAGAAAAGGAACGGGAGAAAAGCAAAGGUUGAGUUGUAGUGGAUCCGAACCGAUGCCAGCUACAUUCACCAGAUAAACCGUUAGUACAAAUACUAAGGCUAUAUGCAUGCUAUGCAACAAACAAAUGCAGCAAUCAAGUGCAACAAACCAACUGGGGUCUAUACUACCGCUUUCUAACGUUCGCGCGGUCUAGGGCGUCCUACAGCCAGACCUGCUCUGAUACCAAGCCUGUGGCACCCCAGCUCAGAGAAAACCGGAACGCCCCGUAUUCCAGCCCAGAGAUCGAGAUGAAGUCUUCUGGAAUACGACACUGCUUAGCAUAGAACAAACCAGCUCUUUAUUACAAUUUGUUUGGGUACAAAGGUUACAUCGGCACGAUGACACUACGCCUGCCACUGUUGCUCUAUGCAAGCAGUAGAACAACACGAUGCAGCGGAAGAACUCUAGCAGCGGAACAACGACGACGGUGGUGAACUCCACUCCGCAGGGACUCUGGCUGGAAUGCUUAUCCUAGCUCGCACGAACGGAAACCACGACAAGCAAGCAAUCAAAUCUGGCAUGACCUGCAAACUGGCAUGACACGCCAGGUCAGUACAUUGAAUGUACAUGCAAACUCACAACAACCAGAAGCAUUCAAGACAGACAACAACACGGCAAUUAUAGGUUAAACAGGAAUUAACAUGAGAUCAUCAGUAUAACAUGGCAUGACCAACAUAAACAUGAUAUAGCUAGAACAAUAUGAACAUAUUAAUCCGACAAUACUAGCAUGCAACAUGAUGACACUAUCAUGCACUACUUAUUCUGCUCGGGUUACCUCGUAACCGACACAUGCAUCACUUACCAACCUCGGACAUCACACGAUCAUCUCAGGAUCAAAUCAAGCUUGGUAUAAACAAUACCGUAGCGAUCAGUAAAUGACCACAAGGAGCUUGAUCUUUACCCACGAUUCUCGCACAACAUCACGAAUAUCCAACAACUUGGUAUCCUCGAUACCACGGUGAUCCUUACGGCGAUCACAACAAACUUAUCUCAUCACCGAACCGGGGUUGUCAUUAAUCAAGUUAUUCUUAUUAUUGUUGACUCAUGGUGUACCCUACUUUCGAACUGGGCCCUUAUCCCCGGGCGCGGCUAUCAAUAGAUUUAAUAUACACUCUGUAGAGGUUAGAACACUAUACCGACACUACGGAACCCAUGGCCUCGCACUUCCAUUCGGGUGGAACAACGGCGUUCCGACAAAACCAUUCUACUGCCAUGACACUCUCCCGGCCGCUCAGACUCACUCCCCACUGGGCUAAGUCAUGGGUGGCCCCGUGUCUCCUCAAGACACCUCAAACCACCGUCGUGGCCCAAAACAAUAAACCGUCCCAAACAGGGACAUGUGCACAUAACAACAACAACGGGCACACAAGGCUUAUGCCCGCCUACCUGAUCAGGGUAGCGCGCGCCCAUAACCUUCCCUCGUUGGAGGCAUCGAUGAGAGGCGCGACAAUAGACCUAGUUAGGACCAUCCCAUACCGGUAAGCGUGGUUGCACUGGUCAGCAUCGUUUCAGCGGCACCAUGACUCAGCCAACAGUUGUUCAAGUUCAAUUUAUUCCGGUUAACUUGAAUGCAAAUAUGCUAAGCCAUGAUAAAAUGCAUGAACAUGAUAUCAACAUAUCAUGAAGGUAUCACAUAACUAUUCACCAUAUCAACAAUAAAUCUUAUCCACUGAGCAUGGCAUACUGACUAGCAUGAUUAUCUCCAACAUCAACAUGUACUACUAACAAGCAUAAACAUAUGAAAAGAAAUACUAGCAGGUAGAACAUGAUAACAAAGUACAAGACAACAUAGCACAAAAGUGAACAUGCAAAUCUAAACAUCAC